GCUUGCGCUCGAUGGUGGGGGGUGGUAUUUAGAAGCACAUUGCUCCCCCUGAAAGCACCUGCUUGCUGUUCCUGGUCCGCAAUGUCGGGGCCAAGCAGUAGCUUAUUACAGCAGGGCCGAUUAAGCUAAUGCACAGAGCUGGUGAUUCGGCCGCUGCUUCAAUCCGUCAGAGCGGUGUAGCGGAGUCCAGUCAGUAGGGACCCAUCCAUGUCCCUGCCCGCCUGCUGCAGCAGCAGUCAAGGCAGCCGGGUGAAGCUGACGCCACAGACCUUGAAAAAAACAGGCAUGCGGAGGUGGAGCUGCGCGUCAGAUAUCGCGCCUGUAACUGUAGGCUUUAUGAGCGAAACGAAAGAAAACCAAAGUUUUCUGUGUAUUUGCCGAGCGUGUACUCGGUUGAAUGUCCUGGGUGUGUACGGCUGGACCGUACAGGGCUAGAAUAAGUCGCAGGAGUGCGACGGAAAGAGCAAGUUCGCGAGUUCAUAGCGAGUUCAUACUGACAGGUUUCCGCUGCGGCUUCUGCCUAACCUACAGGCUUCAGAAGCAGAGUCGCUCGGUAACCAGGCUCGCCCCCUCCCACGGAAGCAAGCACUAACUUUCCUGCCUGCAGGUACCCCUCCGUCUGAACGACCCCUAAGCGGUAAGGCAACUACUCAAGAAAACAAAGAUUUGGC
rnacentral:lncRNA from 1 species